rnacentral:lncRNA from 1 species
UCUAGCUAAAGGAUUGUAAACACACCAAUCAGUGCUCUGUGUCUAGCUAAAGAUUUGUAAACGCACCAAUCAGCACUCUGUCAAAACGGACCAAUCAGCUCUCUGUAAAAUGGACCAAUCAGCUCUCUGUAAAAUGGACCAAUCAGCAGACUGUGGGUGGGGCCAGAUAAGGCAAUAAAAGCUGGCCACUCUAGCCAGCAACGGCAGCUGGCUGCUUUCUGUUGGCAUGCAGUGUGGUGUUUGUUCUUUUGCUCUUUGCAAUAAAUCUUGUUGCUGCUCACUGUUUGGGUCUGCACUGCCUUUAUGAGCUGUAACACUUAUUGUGAAGGUCUGCAGGUUGACUCCUGAGGCCAGGGAGACCACGAACCCACCGGUAGGAAGAAACUCUGGACACAUCCGAACAUCAGAAGGAGCAAACUCCAGACACACCAUCUUUAAGAACUGCAACACUCACCGGAGGGUCCGCGGCUUCAUUGUUGAAGUCAGCGAGACCAAGAACCCACCAAUUCCAGAUGCAGUCUCACCUGUAUAUGGAAUUUAAUAAAGCCAGACUCAUGGAAGCAGAGAGUAGAGCAGAGGUUGCCAGAAGCUUGGAUUGGAGGAGAGAUUUGUGAUCUUACUUAGAUGAUGUGUGAGACAGUAAAUGAAAUGAGGAGCAUUCACUUAAAUGUUGCUGAGCAUUUCUGUCUUCUGGGCUCCAGUAUCUGAGAGUUGAUUAUGAGUUUCUUCUAAUAUCAUAAGAAUGAAGGCAUACAAACAUCUUGAAGUACAAUAUGAAAUUUAUGGGAUCCUGAUUGAAGCACUACACCAAAUAAUUUUUAAGCCAUCAGAGAGUGCAUAUAACAUGGUAAAGAAGAAAGAGGUGAAGGAGGAGCAGGGGAAAGUGGGGUGAGGAAGAGGAGAAUGAAAGAUACAAUUGAGGAUUAAUGACUCAGUUUGCUACAUUCUCCAGCAUUCUAUAUCUUCUGAAAGAAGUUGCCAUUUGCAUUAAGAUGAUGUGAAGGCAGCAGUAAAUGAAAAGUUUCC